rnacentral:rRNA from 1 species
AACGAACGCUGGCGGCAUGCCUAACACAUGCAAGUCGAACGAAGGCUUCGGCCUUAGUGGCGCACGGGAGAGUAACGCGUGGGAACCUACCUUUUGGUUCGGGAUAACAUCGGGAAACUGGUGCUAAUACCGGAUAAGCCCUUCGGGGGAAAGAUUUAUUGCCGAAAGAUGGGCCCGCGUUGGAUUAGCUAGUUGGUGAGGUAAUGGCUCACCAAGGCAACGAUCCAUAGCUGGUCUGAGAGGAUGAUCAGCCUCACUGGGACUGAGACACGGCCCAGACUCCUACGGGAGGCAGCAGUGGGGAAUAUUGGACAAUGGGGGAAACCCUGAUCCAGCCAUGCCGCGUGAAUGAUGAAGGCCUUCGGGUUGUAAAGUUCUUUUGGUGGGGACGAUGAUGACGGUACCCACAGAAUAAGCUCCGGCUAACUUCGUGCCAGCAGCCGCCGCCG